GAUGAACGCUAGCGGCAGGCUUAAUACAUGCAAGUCGAGGGGCAGCAUGAUUGUAGCAAUACAAUUGAUGGCGACCGGCAAACGGGUGCGGAACACGUACACAACCUUCCAACAAGUGGGGGAUAGCCCAGAGAAAUUUGGAUUAAUACCCCGUAACAUAGCGAUGUGGCGUCACAUUGCUAUUAUAGAUUUUUCGCUUGUUGAUGGGUGUGCGGCUGAUUAGAUAGUUGGCGGGGUAACGGCCCACAAAGUCUACGAUCAGUAGCUGAUGUGAGAGCAUGAUCAGCCACACGGGCACUGAGACACGGGCCCGACUCCUACAGGAGGCAGCAGUAAGGAAUAUUGGACAAUGGACGCAAGUCUGAUCCAGCCAUGCCGCGUGAAGGAUUAAGGUCCUCUGGAUUGUAAACUUCUUUUAUAAGGGACGAAAAAAGGCUUUUCUAAGUCGUCUGACGGUACCUUAUGAAUAAGCACCGGCUAACUCCGUGCCAGCCGCCGCUGUAACAC
rnacentral:rRNA from 1 species